AUGUCCUCAUCCACCCCCAAUGCCCUCAAUACAUAUGAAGGCUCCAAACUCGCGCUAGUGCAGGCACUCCCACUUGACACUGCUACAUCCUUCAAUCCCAUCAACAAGCUCUCCCCUUCCACAUAAGCAAAGGAAAGAUUCAAAUUCCCUGCGUAUCGCCUCUCUAUGCUCCCAUUGACCACCACUCCAUCAAGUUUAGCUUUAAUUCCUUUCAACAACCUCUCCUGCAAAGCCCUAAUUCUCUUAUCAUCAUACUUCAUCUCCUUCUUCGCAAGUUCACAAGCAGCACCCAUUCCCACAACCAAAGGAGUCGGCACCGUCCCACUUCGUAUCCCUCUCUC
rnacentral:misc_RNA from 1 species